GGCGAACAGCAAUCUUUUGAAUCGGUUUUGGCCGUGAGUCUGGAAGACUUGGAGUUAAGCACUGAAGUCGUUCUUAAAAAAGGAAGAUGUGUUGGGAGUUUUGCCAACCGGACACGGUAAAAGUUUAAUCUAUCAACUAGCGUUGCUCUGCAUGGUAGUAACAUGGAGAGUUGCU